rnacentral:sRNA from 1 species
AGAUAAGUUUUCUAGGGUUCCGCAACGAAACACGUUGGUCUGGUCCGAGAGAAAACUCACAGCCUUUGCUGUGUCACGGAAGGAUAAAAGCCUGGGAGGA